rnacentral:rRNA from 1 species
UACGUAGGGUGCGAGCGUUGUCCGGAAUUACUGGGCGUAAAGAGCUCGUAGGUGGUUUGUCGCGUCGUCUGUGAAAUACCGGGGCUUAACUUCGGAGCUGCAGGCGAUACGGGCAUAGCUUGAGUGCUGUAGGGGGGACUGGAAUUCCUGGUGUAGCGGUGAAAUGCGCAGAUAUCAGGAGGAACACCAAUGGCGAAGGCAGGUCUCUGGGCAGUAACUGACGCUGAGGAGCGAAAGCAUGGGUAGCGAACAGG